rnacentral:rRNA from 1 species
GACGAACGCUGGCGGCGUGCCUAAUACAUGCAAGUAGAACGCUGAAGGAGGAGCUUGCUUCUCUGGAUGAGAUGCGAACGGGUGAGUAACGCGUAGGUAACCUGCCUGGUAGCGGGGGAUAACUAUUGGAAACGAUAGCUAAUACCGCAUAAUAGUAGAUGUUGCAUGACAUUUGCUUAAAAGGUGCAAUUGCAUCACUACCAGAUGGACCUGCGUUGUAUUAGCUAGUUGGUGAGGUAACGGCUCACCAAGGCGACGAUACAUAGCCGACCUGAGAGGGUGAUCGGCCACACUGGGACUGAGACACGGCCCAGACUCCUACGGGAGGCAGCAGUAGGGAAUCUUCGGCAAUGGGGGGAACCCUGACCGAGCAACGCCGCGUGAGUGAAGAAGGUUUUCGGAUCGUAAAGCUCUGUUGUAAGAGAAGAACGAGUGUGAGAGUGGAAAGUUCACACUGUGACGUAUCUACCAGAAA